UGGAUCAUGAGCUCCUGCUGCUCUCUCUCUCUCUCUCUGAAUGAAGAUUGAGUGUUACCCCAGACUGCACCAACCUCUGCUUUCACAGGAGGAUUUACCUGCAUAUCUUGAACUAAUUGCCUCAGCCAGCUUGACUCAUUGGGACUGGAAUUUUAUCGAUCUUUUGAGUGGAGAAGGAGGAUUGUCCCGCCUGCUUCCAGAGAUCUGACUGGUAAAGCACUGAGAUGCCGCUGUUCGAGGGUGGAGGGAGCUUUACCGGAGCGGAGAGUUAGCCAGCCGGCCACCCGCAGCAGAGUGGGACGUCAGAGGGAGCGUCGAACCUGGAGGGAGCCCGCGCCAUGGGGAAACCGUGGGGAAUGCGGGAAGGGGUUUCGAGUCCCCUCUGAGCUGGAGAUCCACUGGCGCGGUCACACCGGGGAGAGGCCGUUCUCCUGCCCCGAGUCCGGCAAGGCCUUCGUUGGGUCCUCCAAGCUGCUGAGGCACCGGCGGGUCCACACCGGGGACAGGCCGUACCCCUGCCCCGAGUGUGGCAAGGCCUUCACCCAGCUGUCCCACCUGCAGACGCACCGGCGCCUCCACACACCAGGGAGAGGCCUCUCACCUGCCCCGGGGGCGGCAAGGCCUUCAAUCGAUCGCCGACCCUGCGGACGCACAGGCGCCUUCCCAACGUGAUCGCACGGAGUUGAAGUCUGCAGCGAAUCCCCCCCAGGACUGGGGGGGAUCGUGCCCCGUGGGGGUAUUGUGCCCCGUUCGAAGACAGUGGGUGAAGCGGGAAGGGAGCGAGGCUUCCUUUCUGCCGGACUGGCCGCUCUCACUCCCUUUGCUUCCCGUGGGACCGAUGCUGUUUGAGGCUGGGACUGCACGUUCCCCGGGCCAAAGAUCUGCAGGAGCUGAGGAAGUGCACUCCUUUCACACCGGAUGGUAAAUCAUGUUUGUCCCAUCUAUUUCGGUCUUAAAUACCCUCCGUGACCUGGCCUCCCAGCCUCCUGUGGCAGUGAAUUCCACAGAUUCCCCACUCUCUGUCUGAAGAGGUUUCUGCUUAUCUCCGUUCUAAAAGGUCUAAGGCUGUGCCCUCGGCUCCUGGUCUCUCCUACCAAUGGAAACGUCUUCCCAAUGGCCACAGAUAGAUCAGAGUCAAAUACAAUAGCCUCUAUUCCAUUGAGUGUCCAGCACACUUUAUAACACUUUGUAAAAUCAGGAGGGCCAUUGAUGAGGUGAGUGGCAGGUGUCUUUUCCCGAUAGAAUAAAGAAUAUUCCAGCACAGGAACAGGCCCUUCGGCCCUCCAAGCCUACACCGAUCCAGAUCCUCUAUCUAAACCUGCUGCCUAUUUUCUCAGGAUCUGUAUCCCUCUGCUCCCUGCCCUUUCAUGUAUCUGUUGAGAUACAUCUUAAAUGACGCCAUUGUUCCCGUCCCUACCAUCUCCGCUGGCAACACAUUCCAGGUAUCCAGCACCCUCUGCGUAAAGAACUUUCCAUAGAUAUCUUAAAUCUUUCCCCUCUCACUUUGAACUCAUGACCCCAGGUAACUGAGUCCUCCACUCUGGGGAAAAACAUUUCUUGCUAUCCACCCUGUCUAUACUUCUCAUGAUUUUGUUGGCCUCAAUCUGGUCCCCCCUUAACCUCCGUCUUUCCAAUGAAAAUAAUCCUGAUCUAUUCAACCUCUCUUCAUAGUUAGCAUCCUCCAUACCAGGUAACAUCCUGGUGAACCUCCUCUGCACCCUCUCCAAAGCAUCCACAUCCAUUUGGUAAUGUGGCGACCAGAACUGUACGUGGUAUUCCAAAUCUGGCCGAAACAAAGUCUUGUAUAACUGUAACAUGACCUGCCAACUCUUGUACACAAUACUCUGUCCGAUGAAGGAAAGUGUGCCAUAUGCCGCCUUGACCACUCUACUGACCUGCAUUGCCAUCUUCAGGGAACAAUGGGCCUGAACACACAGAUCUCUCUCUACAUCAGUUUUCCCCAGGACUUUUCCCAUAUUACCUCACUGCUCGAGUCCUUCAUAGUGCCCUCCUUCAGCACAGCUGUGAUAGCCUCUCUGACCAGUAAUACAACUCCUUCACCUCCCUCUCUAUCCCACCUGAAGCAUCGAUAUCCUGGGAUAUUUAGUUGCCAAUCUGGCACUAUGAGGCAUCGGUGCUACCUACUGAGCCAUCAUGCCACCCUCUUGCAGUUUGCUAACCUAGUUAUCUGCCCCCCCCUCUCUUCCUAUAAUAGUAGUUUGGUUUGUCCUAUAAUAGUAGUGUUAUCCCAGUCGAAUUCAUGUUGCUUGUCAUCUGCGUGUAUGGCCACCAAGGAUAGCUGGUCGUGUCGUUUCGUGGCUAGUUGGUAUUCAUGGAUGUGGAUCGUUAGCUGUCUUCCUGUUUGUCCUAUGUAGUGUUUUGUGCAGGCCUUGCAUGGGAUUUUGUACACAAUAAGGACUGCACAAAACACUACAUAGGACAAACAGGAAGACAGCUAAUGAUCCGCAUCCAUAACACUACUAUUACAGGACAAGCCAAACAGAGAACAGCCAGGGAAUUCCUGGAGGCAUGGCACUCACCCACAGAUUCAAUCAAUAAACACAUCGACCUGGACCCAAUAUACCGGCCACUGCAGCGGACAGCUGGAACUGACAAUCGGAAGCGGCAGAGACAAACCACUAUAAAUGCCGGAGGAAACAACACAGAAGUGCUUCACAGGAGACUCCCAAGCACUGAGGAUGUCACCCAAACAGGGGACGAAACGUCUGCAACACAAAUUCCCAGCUCGGCAAACAGAACCACAACAACGAGCAGCCGAGCUACAAAUCUUCUCCCAAACUUGGAAUACAUAACAUGGCUACAACACUAUGAUAUAACUAGAAAUAAUUAUAAAUCAAAUUUAUACAGCCGUAAAUAAAUACAUAUUGCACAGUAA